UACGUAGGGUGCGAGCGUUGUCCGGAAUUACUGGGCGUAAAGAGCUCGUAGGUGGUUUGUCGCGUUGUCCGUGAAAACUCACAGCUUAACUGUGGGCGUGCGGGCGAUACGGGCAGACUGGAGUACUGCAGGGGAGACUGGAAUUCCUGGUGUAGCGGUGGAAUGCGCAGAUAUCAGGAGGAACACCGGUGGCGAAGGCGGGUCUCUGGGCAGUAACUGACGCUGGAGGAGCGAAAAGCAUGGGGGAGCGAACAGG
rnacentral:rRNA from 1 species